UACGUAGGGUGCAAGCGUUGUCCGGAAUUAUUGGGCGUAAAGAGCUCGUAGGCGGUUUGUUGCGUCGGCUGUGAAAUCCCGAGGCUCAACCUCGGGUCUGCAGUCGAUACGAGCAAACUAGAGUGUUGCAGGGGAGACUGGAAUUCCUGGUGUAGCGGUGAAAUGCGUAGAUAUCAGGAGGAACACCGGUGGCGAAGGCGGGUCUCUGGGCCGAUACUGACGCUGAGGAGCGAAAGCGUGGGGAGCGAACAGG
rnacentral:rRNA from 1 species